rnacentral:tRNA from 1 species
CUCCUAGUGGCUCAGAUAGUAAAGAAUCUGCCUGCGAUGCAGGAGACCCGGGUUCGAUCCCUGGCUCGGAAG